AUUGAACGCUGGCGGCAUGCCUUACACAUGCAAGUCGAACGGUAACAGGUCUUCGGAUGCUGACGAGUGGCGAACGGGUGAGUAAUACAUCGGAACGUGCCUAGCAGUGGGGGAUAACUACUCGAAAGAGUGGCUAAUACCGCAUGAGAUCUACGGAUGAAAGCAGGGGAUCGCAAGACCUUGUGCUACUAGCGCGGCCGAUGGCAGAUUAGGUAGUUGGUGGGAUAAAAGCUUACCAAGCCGACGAUCUGUAGCUGGUCUGAGAGGACGAUCAGCCACACUGGGACUGAGACACGGCCCAGACUCCUACGGGAGGCAGCAGUGGGGAAUUUUGGACAAUGGGCGCAAGCCUGAUCCAGCAAUGCCGCGUGCAGGAUGAAGGCCUUCGGGUUGUAAACUGCUUUUGUACGGAACGAAAAGCCCUGGGUUAAUACCCUGGGGUCAUGACGGUACCGUAAGAAUAAGCACCGGCUAACUACGUGCCAGCCGCCGCAGUAA
rnacentral:rRNA from 1 species